AGCAUUUGACAAGCUUGAGUGGUCAGUUUUUAAUCAAGUAAACAUUUUUAAAAUGUUUCAAGGAUACAGAAGUGGAAAAUGAGUUUUAAAAAGCAGUGGCCUUGACAAGUUUUCCGAAGAAGUUUAUUUCCGAUUGAAGCUAUUUGCUGGAUCCACUUUUGUCUUCCUAGAUUGAGAGGAAAAUUCUUUGCUGACACACACGGAAACAUCUCCUUUCAUUGAAGACGUGUUUAUCUGCCCCAGCAAAUUGUUGACCUCAACCUCAAGGACAGCAGUGAUUCAAUUGUAUGAAUAGGCUGUAUUAUUUUGCCCCAUAACAGGAGAUAUCUCCUUAGUGUGAUUCAUCCCAACUGUGCUACACCUUAUCUUAAAAGAGUGUGAAUUUCUUCUGUCAUUUCUCUGCCCUUUGAAAUAGAGAAACAUCUGCAGAAACUGCAGUGCACUGAGCAUAAUUGGAGUGCUUGAAACAUAUCUAGAAAUAAUUUGUAGGACAACAGCAUCUAAUUAUGUUGGACACAGAAGUCUGCAGGUACAUCCUCCAGGGAAAGAAGAGUGA
rnacentral:lncRNA from 1 species